UCGAUAUUUUAAUCUAAUACAAACAUUCUCUAGUUAACUGUAGUGUUUACUUGUGCUCCCAACAAAACGAGGUGGAGAAAGAGCACAUAAUUUCUUGUCUUUUUUUCUUGGUUAACUUGACAAUAUUUCUUCCAUUAUUCAUGUUCAUUAUUGUAUAUUCUUUAUAAAAUUUUCUUUGCAUUGCUUUGUUUUGUGAAAUUUUCUAAUUUGUUGUUCAGAUAAGGAUCCUAUCUUUUGCUGCAAGUGACUCAAGUUUUAGGAGUUGAAGAAUCCUAGCAUCCUUGUGACCUCCUGAAUUUGUUUAUUUGGAGAAAUUUUCGAGGAAACCAGAAAUUGAUGCUUUUGCAGAAGAAUUGAAACCACAUCAGGUUGCCUUCUGUCUCACUUUAAAGAUUUACACGAUCUUAGCUUUGUUUUUAUGAUAUUUUCUAAUUGUUUGGUUUGUCAUUUGACUAUAUGACUAUCUGGUACAAUGGAGAGGAUAUGAAUUUUGAUGGUCAUGUUGACAGUUUGUUGCUCGAAGUUGCAUUACAUGAAAAGCAUUUGGGGGCAAAUCAAGCACAUUUAGGCCAUGUAGCGAUGUUGUUAAAGAGGUAGUUAAGUUGAGGACAAACCAUGUUUUAUCAUAGAUAUGGGAAUUUUUGGUAAUAUUAUGUGCCUUAUAAUAUUCAAAUCUGCACCUGAAUGCAUGGUGGGUGUUAGUUUUGUCCAACGUGUCCUUUGUUAACCAUUUAAGUUGUUUGAGAACUUGAUGUAUAUUUAAGUAAAAUUGGGAUUUACUACGAAUGACCUGAUGUAAAAAGCUUUGUAUGGUAUGAAGUUUGGUUAUUUUCUUAGUGA